UAAAUGUUUUGGAAAAUUAAAUUAUUUUUAAAAUGGAACAGUUAAACUAAAAUAAUAGCUCAAUGCGACGAAAUUAUUUGACUUAAGGGUCUUAUGUGAAAAUUUAUGGAGUGGCUACCUAACAUUGGAUUUUGGUUUGUCAAGUUACUUUCAAAAUAUAUAUAUUUUAUAAAAUAUUAUUUUUUUGAAUAUUGUCCAAGAUAUUUUAAAAAUGCAUGUAAUGAUCUUGAUUUUUUUCUAUUUUCCAUUUUCUAGGAUUUUUUGAUUUUUCUGUUUUUAUCUUGUCUCGUUUUACGUGUUGGACACUGUGGGAUGUGCUGGGUGUGUGAGAAUUGGUUGGAACAUUUCUUUGAGUUCAGGACUCUUAGAAAUGCAUUAAUUGCCAUUUUAGUAUUUUUUCUUUUUUUCCGGGAAGGUGGGACCCGUUAUCGAAGUCGUUGAGCACGGAGAUUUUAAUUCGGGUUCAUUGCAAUUCAUUCAUUAUUAAUUAAUGCAUUUUUGUGUGGUAGCAUGUUUAAUUUAUUGGUUGUAAUUUGAUUUGUGUAUAUAUAUAAGUUAAUGUUAGUGGAGAUAUUUUCUUAAGGCAUGGGAUCCACCAUUAUGAUAUAUCAUUGUAUAUGGCCUAAAGUCUGUCAGCAGUCUCAUUUUUCUCAUUCUUCACGCAGCCUCUUUCUCUCUCCUACAUGAAAUCUAUUUUUCUCUCACUAAAUCACAAAUUAUAAAGCUUGAUUUCAUCAUCUUUCAUUUGGAAUUCGAUUUUGUCAUAAAAGGCAAAGUUGACGAGCUUGUCGAGGAUUAUGUUUUGAUCGGAGUUGAUCUUGAUUUGCCCAUCCUUGAAUUUUGAAUUUUUGAACUAAAAUUUAGGUUUUCUUUAUUUCUUGAGUUCAUAUAUACACGUGGUCUGUUGUGGGAUGCUUGCCGCGGAAGUAGAAAGAAAUGAGGAGAAAAUUGAGAUUUUGUGUUGCGGGUCCCAUGAUAAUUGAUUUGGUAAGUUUUUAUUAUAUAUAGAUAUAUAUGUAUUUGCACCAAAGUGAUAAGGAGGAGUCGUAACGGAGAAAAGAAAAAAAAUGUGAUGUUGGUGGGCUCCACUUAGUUAUUAAAUGGGGCAAGACUUUUUGACUUUGUUUUUUUAUCAGGUGGCUUGGAAUUGAUUUGGAUGUAAGAUAAGUUUCUAAAUAUAUAUAUAUAAAAUAUGAUAUGAUGGAUGGAGUUGGUGAAUGGGUUAGUUUUUGAUUUGAUUACUUAUAUAUAUAUAUAUAUAUAUAUAUAUAUAAAUGGGUUAUGGUGAUAAGAGAGAAGGCAACCGAAUGAUGGGUGAUGAUAAUGAAAUUGUGGUGACGAUAUGUGUACUUGCAGGGCCCACUGAAGAUUUAUUUUUGGCCAAAAUUUUCUUCUUGCUUUGUCUCCUUCACGUGGCUUAUUUUGUGGUGUGGGUUUGAUGAAUGAAAAGAAGGCAUGGGUGGUGGGGUCCACUUAUUUAUUACUUGUUGGGUGAGCUGUAUGGUUUGGGUCGGUGGAAUGGCCUAUUUAUUGUGUUGUGUGCACUGCCAAGUAAAAAGGACAGAUGAGGAAAGUAAGAGAAAUUAGAGUGAGCAAAGAGACAAACAGAGAGUCUGAGGACAGAGGUUCGAGAGUCUGCAGAGGAGUUUGGGAGCUUGAAGCUUGGUGAUUUAGUGAGGAAAUCUCUUUUUAGUGUAGGGUUCUCUAUACCUUGAAUGACAUGCAUAUGUAUUUUUUCUAUUGGGACUUUUGUCUCACCACCCUCCAGUUUCAAGUACCGAAGAUGAACGGGGAUUGCUAGAUUCGGGUUUAGUACUGAAGAGUCGGCGUUGCAGGAUUGAUUUUAUUAUUUGGAGAAUUUUUUUGUAUUUUUGAGGAAGCUGGCUUUGUAUAAAAGAUGGUAUUUUUAUUGUGAUCCUGAGUGUAUUUUGAUAUAUUUGUAUUUGUUUAUUAGAAUUUUCGGGGCGUGACAUCUAAUCCAUGAUCUCUUUGAUUCUAGUGACGCAUUUUUCUAUAUAUGAUGUAUAAUAUGCUUAAUUGUGGUUA